GGGGGCGUGGCUUAGUUUGGUUAAAGCGUCUGCCUGUCACGCAGAAGAUCGCGGGUUCGAGCCCCGUCGUCCCCGCCA
rnacentral:tRNA from 1 species